AGAUGUCAAAAUUAUCAUUUUUUAAAAUUAGAAACAGAUUUUUCUUAAAGCUUACAUUUGUCUGAUUACAUAAAUAUGUACAUAUUUUUUUUCCAUUUUCCUCAGAAAAUCAAUGGUGUCCACCUCCAAGGGGUUGGCCUUGUAUUUUUCAGUGCUUUGAAAAUAUAGGAUGCAGAGAUGGUAACAUAUGCUGCCCCACUGGAUGUGGAUAUAUGUGCCAACGUCCAGGAGAUGAUUAGCCCAAACUUUGUGGAAGACACCUGCUCAUCCCUCACUGUCAUGGUAGUGAUGGUGAAUGAAGCUGUAAGAAGAAGCACUCUCUAAACAGAUGUGAAAACACCUGUAAACAAUCCUUUUGUUUUCUUAAAAACACCAACUGAGCUGCAUCAUAUAGUCCAGUGUGCUUCUCUUCGGUUUCUUUAAUAAAGUCACUGAUAAAAAUUG